rnacentral:lncRNA from 1 species
UGAGACUUUUGUGAAACAGCAUUGCUCAAUCAUCUGAAAAAUCUACCAGAAGUCAUGAAUUUGAAGCCUGGAGCUGUUACCACAUAUUUUCCUGAGUGUGAGAAUCCAGACUUAGGUGAAAAAGAAAUCUGUCGUACUUGAAGAGAGAGAGAAACUGGGUCUUUGCCAAGCGUAGCCACUAAAUCAAAGCAAACCCAAAGCUUGCUCUACCUACGGACUUUGUAGUUUGGCUUUUUUCCUAUUCUGUGGCACGUUUUAAAUGACAGUAUUUUAAGAGAGAAGAUUGAAGUGAGCUGAGUAGGAGGAAAAACAAAUGACCAACUACUUCUCUGGUUUCUGGACUCCUGGGACACCUCUGUCGAAGGAGAAAAGCCUGCCCACUCGUCCCACCUAACUCUCUGGUUCUACACUGGUGUCGAAGGCCAAAGCCCCAGUGUGCUUUAAGAAAUGUUCAUUUUCUGGUCUUUGUCUUGUGUACAUGUAAUUUCUUUCUGGUUAUGAAAAGGAUAAAAAUCAUAUGUGCUUGAGUUGUAGAUGCUUUCUUAAUAUCACUCCUCCCUCUAAUCUUUUAUAAAAAGCAACCCUAUAAACAAAUGUGCUCUGUGAUUCCAUCGGCUAUACAAUGUAUAAUCUCCAACUCAGCUGACAUACACUCCUCAAAGAGACACUUUUAAAAGAAACACAAUUCCUCUGCACUUGCACUAUAGUCUAAAAGGUUCUUUUUCACAUAUUUCCUAAAGAAACCAAAGCAAGUAAAUAGUUUGAACAAAUCACACUGACCCUCUGUAUAAUUAAUUUAAUGGAAAUGAACUGUGACUUGUUGCCAGCAGCCUAUAUUCGUAAUUUUUAAAAGAAACCACCCCAUAAAAAUAUACUUAUGUAAAUGGUAAAUAUUUAUACUAAUUAUAAAUUAUUUUAUAUAUUACACAUAAUUAUAAAAUAUUAAUCCUCCUCAUUUGGGAGGAUUACCAUCCGAAGAAGCACUGCUGAAUUUCUGUCCCUGACAAUACAAAUAACAUCACCAGAAAGGUCGCCCUUUUGCAAUUACUCACUAAGAAGUUUAGAACCAAAUUAACUCCUCAAAUUAGCUAGUUGGCAGAUCAAUGAGUUAUGCAUUUUGAGCUCAUUUAGGCCUCAUUUCUAAACUCACUGUACCUUGUCAUUUUUAGUGUUCAGUAGAGGGUGAUGAAAUGACCAAUUUCUUGAUAAAAUUGUUAUUACAUGUGUAUGUGUGUGGGGGACAUGUUGUAUCAAUAUUCUUAAAAAUGUUCAUCUACUUUGACUCAAUAAUUUAAUGUCCAAGAAUAUACCUAAAGGUGUAAUUAAAUAUACAUAUGUUGAUUUAUGAGCCAUAAUUUAUUAUGUAUUAUUUUUAAAAGUUAAAGUUAUAAAAUAACAUCAGAAUCCAAU